UACAGAGGUCUCAAGCGUUGUUCGGAUUCAUUGGGCGUAAAGGGUGCGUAGGCGGCGUGGUAAGUCGGAUGUGAAAUCUCGGAGCUUAACUCCGAAACUGCAUUCGAUACUGCCGUGCUUGAGGACUGGAGAGGAGACUGGAAUUUACGGUGUAGCGGUGAAAUGCGUAGAUAUCGUAAGGAAGACCAGUGGCGAAGGCGGGUCUCUGGACAGUUCCUGACGCUGAGGCACGAAGGUCAGGGGGAGCAAAACGGGG
rnacentral:rRNA from 1 species